rnacentral:tRNA from 2 species
GCACCCUUAGCUCAGCUGGAUAGAGCAUUCGCCUCCGAAGCGAAAGGCCGGUGGUUCGACUCCACUAGGGUGCACCA